CAAAAAACGGAAAUUAGAAAUACCAGUUCACCCACGGGAUGUUUUUUUUUUGUCUCCACUUGGUCCGUUUUUGUGGUGCUCGUCAUUUAUCAUGUCCUACUGAACUGGAAAAGGUGUGAGUGGUUGCCCUAGAGGAAGUCUGGAGAGACGGGCGGACGAUGCAUCUCUGCUCGCCGCCACCAUGGAACUGGACCUAAAGCGCUCUCCUGCAAAGAGCAGCGACCUGGAUGCUGUCAGGUCGAGACUCUCGGCCUGCCGCUCUGUGCAGCCGCCUGGACUCGGACAUCAUGGAAGACCCCUUCG
ensembl:lncRNA